ACAUACGACCAUACCCACUGGAAAACUCGGGAUCCCAUCCGCUCUCCCAUAGAUAAGCCAGUGAGGGAUAGAGUAGUAGUCGGGUCGGUGACGACCGGCGAAUGCCUGUUGUUGUAUGUU
rfam:Colletotrichum gloeosporioides Cg-14 contig05358, whole genome shotgun sequence.